CGGUCCCUGGUGCAUUUGCCAGACAUUCUGUCCUCGAGCCGAUAAAGUGUUAACCGGGGGUGACCGAUGACGUUGGUGUGCAAGUCCGGCAUGACCGGGAAGCCUGAUACGUCACGGGAGCCACCACCUUGAAUCUAUCGGGUUCAAGGGCCGUACCGUCAGCGGUGCUCCGGGUACCGA
rnacentral:other from 1 species